GGGGAUGACUGGAUUAGACAGCAGGAUGAGAUGGUAUGUAAGCACGCAGUGCGCCGAUGGCUGUCACUAUAAUCCAAGCGAUCAAAAAUUUAUCUGGCGAAAAUAAUUACGCUCUUGCUGCCUAGUCGAAGAUAGUAGACUGGCUUUAUCCCGUCACUAGGUGACAGGACGAGACAUCGCUCAGAGGCUCUUGUUCCGAAGCUUUCUGGUCCAGCGGUGUAGGAAUAAUCGGGAAUAGUUAUAGUAGGCCUUGAUGCUAUAAUGAAAUUUAGAGGAUAAGGUUGUAGUGGGUGGUCCAGGUCUUGCUACAGCACGAAAACCGAAGGCUGGAAUAAGCGUGUAGAAAGCGUAUGGUUUCCCUGUUUGGACGAGGGUUCAAGCCCCUCCAUCUCCACAA
rnacentral:tmRNA from 1 species